AUUGAACGCUGGCGGCAGGCCUAACACAUGCAAGUCGAGCGGAGCGUCGGAAGGGUGAGUAAUGCCUAGGAAUCUACCUGUUGGUGGGGGAUAACGUACGGAAACGGGCGCUAAUACCGCAUACUAUCAGAUGAGCCUAGGUCGGCUUAGCUGGUUGGGGGGGUAAAGGCCUACCAAGGCGACGAUCCGAAAGUGGUCUGAGAGGAUGAUCAGUCACACUGGAACUGAGACACGGUCCAGACUCCUACGGGAGGCAGCAGUGGGGAAUAUUGGACAAUGGGCGAAAGCCUGAUCCAGCCAUGCCGCGUGUGUGAAGAAGGUCUUCGGAUUGUAAAGCACUUUAGGUUGGGAGGCGUUAUCUACAGAAUAAGCACCGGCUAACUACGUGCCAGCAGCCGCGGUAAUAC
rnacentral:rRNA from 1 species